rnacentral:rRNA from 1 species
UGGGGAAUAUUGGACAAUGGGCGCAAGCCUGAUCCAGCCAUGCCGCGUGAGUGAUGAAGGCCCUAGGGUUGUAAAGCUCUUUCACCGGUGAAGAUAAUGACGGUAACCGGAGAAGAAGCCCCGGCUAACUUCGUGCCAGCAGCCGCGGUAAUACGAAGGGGGCUAGCGUUGUUCGGAUUUACUGGGCGUAAAGCGCAAGUAGGCGGACUAUUAAGUCAGGGGUGAAAUCCCGGGGCUCAACCCCGGAACUGCCUUUGAUACUGGUAGUCUUGAGUUCGAGAGAGGUGAGUGGAAUUCCGAGUGUAGAGGUGAAAUUCGUAGAUAUUCGGAGGAACACCAGUGGCGAAGGCGGCUCACUGGCUCGAUACUGACGCUGAGGUGCGAAAGCGUGGGGAGCAAACAGG